UGGAAUGCGAUUUUGUUAAUAAAAAAAAUACUUAUAACUUAUGCAAAACCCAAGAGAGGCAUUUAUAUUUAUUUCUUUUGCGUUCAUUUUCAAAUUCGCCGUGCAUAUAUUUUUGUGCAUGGCGCUUGAGAGGGCAUCACGUGACUAAAAACGACCAACCAACGACCUCGCUUCGGCCAUCUUGGCAUCUUCAUCUUGGCGACCUUGCCUUGCCGUGGAUUGUUUUUAGUUGUUUGUAUUAUUUGUGCUUUUUAAGAAUAUUUUUUUAAUUCGGAUACUUUUAUAAUAGCUUUAAUAGUAUUAUUAACAUAGUGCAUAAAAUGGUGUCCUGUUUUUAACGCAGUUGGAGUAGCAGAAACAAAUGUAGAUAAAAAAAUCUGCAGGAAUAACGUUUCAAUUAUGACAGAAGCUCAAAACAAAUGACUGAAUGAAAAGCCCUAUUAAAAGCUUUCCAGAAGAUCCUGCGAAGAAGACAUGAAGUAUAGAUCAGAUUUGUUAAUAGAGGAGUAUGUUCAAAACACUUUUUAGAAAAAGAUAUUGACAGAACUUCACUUUCAUCUGUUCGUUUGAGAGACUGUGCUGUUCCAAUAGCUUAUGUCACACAGAAUCAGCUGAGAGAAGUGGUCUACAAAAAACCAGAAAGGAAACGGAAUAUGUGGCUACGAAAAGCAAAAGAAAGGUUUACAAAGCAAAUGUGACACAUUUUUUUAUAAUAUUUAGGAAUGUCAGCAAAUUACAUUAAAAAAUGUAUGUAAAGAUUUUUUGCAAUAAAA